rnacentral:rRNA from 1 species
GGCAUGUGCACGCUCUGUUCACACAUCCACUCACACCCUGUGCACCCUCUGUAGUUCUAUGGUCGGGGGGCUUGUCCCUCCUGCUGUGGUUCUGCUUCUUUACACACACACUGUAACAAGUCUCAUGGAAUGCAUGCCGCGUUUAACGCAAUACAAUACAACUUUCAGCAACGGAUCUCUUGGCUCUCGCAUCGAUGAAGAACGCAGCGAAAUGCGAUAAGUAAUGUGAAUUGCAGAAUUCAGUGAAUCAUCGAAUCUUUGAACGCACCUUGCGCCCUUUGGCCAUUCCGAAGGGCAUGCCUGUUUGAGUAUCAUGAACACCUCAACUCUUCAUGGUUUUCCGUGAUGAGCUUGGAUUUUGGGGGUUUUGCUGGCCUAUGGUUGGCUCCUCUAAAAUGAAAUCAGCUUGCCAGUGUUUGGUGGGCAUCACAGGUGUGAUAAAGUAUCUACGCUUGUGGGUUUUCCACCAGUCAACCUUUCAGCAGUGGGGGGUUCACUGGAGCUCACAGAUGUCUCU